rnacentral:rRNA from 1 species
CUGCAGAAGAAGUACCGGCUAACUACGUGCCAGCAGCCGCGGUAAUACGUAGGGUACGAGCGUUGUCCGGAAUUAUUGGGCGUAAAGAGCUCGUAGGUGGUUGGUCACGUCUGCUGUGGAAACGCAACGCUUAACGUUGCGCGUGCAGUGGGUACGGGCUGACUAGAGUGCAGUAGGGGAGUCUGGAAUUCCUGGUGUAGCGGUGAAAUGCGCAGAUAUCAGGAGGAACACCGGUGGCGAAGGCGGGACUCUGGGCUGUAACUGACACUGAGGAGCGAAAGCAUGGGGAGCGAACAGGAUUAGAUACCCUGGUAGUCCAUGCCGUAAACGUUGGGCACUAGGUGUGGGGGACAUUCCACGUUCUCCGCGCCGUAGCUAACGCAUUAAGUGCCCCGCCUGGGGAGUACGGUCGCAAGGCUAAAACUCAAAGGAAUUGACGGGGGCCCGCACAAGCGGCGGAGCAUGCGGAUUAAUUCGAUGCAACGCGAAGAACCUUACCAAGGCUUGACAUACACCAGACCGGCCUGGAAACAGGUCUUCCCCUUUGGGGUUGGUGUACAGGUGGUGCAUGGUUGUCGUCAGCUCGUGUCGUGAGAUGUUGGGUUAAGUCCCGCAACGAGCGCAACCCUCGUUCUAUGUUGCCAGCACGUGAUGGUGGGAACUCAUAGGA